AGUGAACGCUGGCGGCAGGCCUAACACAUGCAAGUCGAACGGCAGCACAGUAAGAUUUUGCCCUUACGGGUGGCGAGUGGCGGAUGGGUGAGGCAUACAUCGGAAUCUACUUUUUCGUGGGGGAUAACGUAGGGAAACUUACGCUAAUACCGCAUAUGACCUACGGGUGAAAGCAGUGGAUCUUCGGACCUCGCGCGACUGAAUGAGCCGAUGUCGGAUUAGCUAGUUGGCGGGGUAAAGGCCCACCAAGGCGACGAUGCGUAGCUGGUCUGAGAGGAUGAUCGGCCACACUGGAACUGAGACACGGUCCAGACUCCUACGGGAGGCAGCAGUAGGGAAUAUUCGGCAAUGGGCGCAAGCCUGAUCCAGCAAUGCCGCGUGGGUGAAGAAGGCCUUCGGAUUGUAAAGCCCUUUUGUUGGGAAAGAAAAACAGCAGAUUAAUACCCCGCUGUUCUGACGGUACCCAAAGAAUAAGCACCGGCUAACUACGUG
rnacentral:rRNA from 1 species